AAGUUACCGAAAGAGAAGGAAUGGACGGUGGAUAUUGAGAAAGUGUCGCUUAUGGAUAACUCCAUAUUGGAGAUUUCCAUAGAUAUCUUUCCUCUAAAAUGUCAUAAGCUCACAACCUUGUUUCCGCAUUACAACCCUGUAAAGAAGAUUUCAGAUUCUAUUUUUACAAACAUGUCUGAGUGUUAUUAAUUUGCUAAAAUAAUUUAUUUUGCACAACUAAAAUUAAAAAAAUUCACAACUUAAGCAGAGAACAGGGACUAAUAGGAAAAUUUGACCGUUUAACAUAAACCAACUCUUAUAUUGUUUCUCCGAUUUUAGAUCAUGGAGCUUAUAGAUUUAUUGAUGAGAAUGCAAGUCUUUCUGGCAGUGCCGCCGUAUGGGUAUGAUGGAAGUAAGAGGUUUGGAACCCAAUAUUGUGGUAUUGGCACUGUCAUUGGUCUUCGUUGUUAAAGGAUGCUCUUGAUCUCUUAUUUGGAAUUGAAGAAAUAAUCCCUUCCUUGCUUAAUUCUUGGUAUGAGUAAUCACAUUGCAAGGAGGUGAUGAUUUUUGAAGCUUUAGGUACCACUGACACUAUGAACAAGAAAGUCAUUGCAAGGUAUGUUUCUAAAUUGAGGAUAUUGUGGACACAAUGAUAAAGCAAUACAUUGAGCAGGGGUUCUUGAAAACAGCUAUUCCUCAAGGGCAGCACAGCUUCUUCAGAAAAUUGUCU